GGGGCUGUAGCUCAUCUGGUAGAGCGCUUCCAUGGCAUGGAAGAGGCAAGGGGUUCGAGUCCCCUCAGCUCCACCA
rnacentral:tRNA from 11 species